GGGCGGGUAGCUCAGUUGGCCAGAGCGUUCGCCUUACACGCGAGAUGUCGUGGGUUCGAGUCCCACCCCGCCCA
rnacentral:tRNA from 1 species